CCACAAUGUGACCAGACGGAAGAUGAUGUGCUUCGCCUCAAGCAGUCACCAACUCUUCGACCUAGGGCUCAGCACCCCCCUCUGCAACUGGAUCCAUGACUUCCUGACCAGCAGAUCACAAUCGAGACAAUAGAUUGUUUCCUGCAGAAGACAAUCUGGGUGACCCAGGAGAACACAGAGAAUACUCCUCCCUUCAGUGACAUUACUGCACAGUUCAUCUACAUGGAUGAAAAAUAUCUCAACUACAACAACUACGUCCAUAGCUGCUUGAAUGUAACAAAGUCUCCAAAACCUUUGGCUGGAGCAUUAUCAAGAGAAAACAUUGAUGCUGAGCCCCAUGUGGCUCCACCAGGUGAAGGAAGAGAAGCUAUCUUCUUGAGUGACGUAUGGCACCCUGGUUAGUGCUGCUGCAUCAC